rnacentral:sRNA from 1 species
GCGGUGCGCCGGACCGCCGGGAAGCGCGCUCUUGGACCAUGGCGACCCAAGCGAAGCGUCCACGGGUGGCGGGGCCCGUGGACGGCGGCGACCCGGAUCCUGUGGCAGGCUUCCUGAGCUGGUGCCUGCGGGUGGGGCUGGAGCUGAGUCCCAAGGUGAGCGAGCGAGCGAGCGGGCGGGCGAGGACCCGCGGCGGGGCGCGGACUGCCCUGACCAGCCCUCCUCCUGUUCAGGUGGCGGUCAGCCGGCAGGGCACGGUGGCCGGCUACGGCAUGGUGGCCCGGGAGAGCGUGCAGGCCGGAGAGCUGCUGUUCAUGGUGCCGCGGGCCGCGCUCCUGUCGCAGCACACCUGCUCCAUCGGCGGCCUGCUGGAGCGAGAGCGAGUUGCGCUGCAGAGCCAGUCGGGCUGGGUGCCACUGCUGCUGGCGCUGCUCCACGAGCUGCAGGCCCCGGCCUCACGCUGGAGGCCCUACUUUGCGCUCUGGCCCGAGCUGGGCCGCUUGGAGCACCCCAUGUUCUGGUGAGAGCCUUGGGAGGGGUUGGGGAGCGCCUGCACCGUAGCCUGCUGCAAGAAGUUUCCCCACCCCCCGCCCCUGCACCAGUCCUGCCCAGUAAAGUGUGUGAAGGAAUGAAGGGAACCUGGGUGUGGGUGUCCCUGCAGGCCAGAGGAGGAGCGCC